GAUGAACGCUGGCGGCGUGCCUAAUACAUGCAAGUCGAGCGAACGGACGAGAAGCUUGCUUCUCUGAUGUUAGCGGCGGACGGGUGAGUAACACGUGGAUAACCUACCUAUAAGACUGGGAUAACUUCGGGAAACCGUAGCUAAUGCCGGAUAAUAUUUUGAACCGCAUGGUUCAAAAGUGAAAGACGGUCUUGCUGUCACUUAUAGAUGGAUCCGCGCUGCAUUAGCUAGUUGGUAAGGUAACGGCUUACCAAGGCAACGAUGCAUAGCCGACCUGAGAGGGUGAUCGGCCACACUGGAACUGAGACACGGUCCAGACUCCUACGGGAGGCAGCAGUAGGGAAUCUUCCGCAAUGGGCGAAAGCCUGACGGGGCAACGGCGCGUGAGUGAUGGAGGUCUUCGGAUCGGAAAACUCUGUUAUUAGGGAAAAACAUAUGUGUAAGUAACUGUGCACAUCUUGACGGUACCUAAUCAGAAAGCCACGGCUAACUACGUG
rnacentral:rRNA from 1 species